rnacentral:lncRNA from 1 species
UGAAUACAACAAUGAAAUGAGAUAUAGGAGAGCACCAAAGUAGUGUAGAAACUCUAAACGAAGAGAUACAUAUAAGCUAUCAUAGCUUAAAAUAAUUUUUCCUAUUAGUUAAAUCAAGAACCAUGAAAUCAAAAUAUCAUGAAUCGUCAUCACUGCAAAAAGAAGCGGUAAAAAUCAGAAGAAACGAUCAUGACAUUGUAUACGUGAAAGUAAAGUAUGUCAUUGGUCGUAGUGCCCCAAUUUUCUCCAGAAGUGUAAUACACAAUGUUUUAAUAGAAGAUUCAAGAGUGAUAUCUAUGAGAUAGAAUAAAAAAAUUGUAAUCAUUAUUAUCAACAACGAUCUAGAAUCAUGCCACAUUUUGCAUGGAUCCCACUAAGAGCAUCCCCAACAGUAUAUCUAUUUCAUUCUCCAUCCUAAAAAUAGAGGAUGAAGGUUACAAAUUAAGCUCCAGGAAAACAUCUAUCACAUACUCUAUUUUUGAUACCAUUCAUAUUAGAAAAGAGAAACUUUAUAUUCGGAUGUUCUCUUUUCAUACUCUAAAGAGAUAUGAAAGAUAUCAUAUAUGGAUGAUCUGUUGGAGUACAUAUCGUUAAAUUGCCGAUAUUGAGUUAUUUUUUAGCUGACACGCCCACCAGC